GAAGAAUCCCAUGAAUAUGAGAAACUCGUGAGAUUGAUAACCAAAAUAUUAGGAGUGGUUUAUGAUAUAUUGAUAGCAAUCCAUAUAUAUUAUGUAUCUUACAUUACAAAUAUGCAACUCUAUGUAUUAUGUAAGACACAACACAAGUGAAUCAAAUGCAACUCUUUGAGGUAUUUUGCCUGUGGAUGUAGGCUCUCACUAGCCAAACCACGUAAAUCCUUCUUGUUAUAGAAGUCUGCCCUUGUAGAAAGU
rnacentral:misc_RNA from 1 species